rnacentral:rRNA from 1 species
UGGGGAAUUUUGGACAAUGGGCGAAAGCCUGAUCCAGCAAUGCCGCGUGUGUGAAGAAGGCCUUCGGGUUGUAAAGCACUUUUGUCCGGAAAGAAAUCCUUGGCUCUAAUACAGUCGGGGGAUGACGGUACCGGAAGAAUAAGCACCGGCUAACUACGUGCCAGCAGCCGCGGUAAUACGUAGGGUGCAAGCGUUAAUCGGAAUUACUGGGCGUAAAGCGUGCGCAGGCGGUUUGCUAAGACCGAUGUGAAAUCCCCGGGCUCAACCUGGGAACUGCAUUGGUGACUGGCAGGCUAGAGUAUGGCAGAGGGGGGUAGAAUUCCACGUGUAGCAGUGAAAUGCGUAGAGAUGUGGAGGAAUACCGAUGGCGAAGGCAGCCCCCUGGGCCAAUACUGACGCUCAUGCACGAAAGCGUGGGGGAGCAAACAGGAUUAGAUACCCUGGUAGUCCACGCCCUAAACGAUGUCAACUAGUUGUUGGGGAUUCAUUUCCUUAGUAACGUAGCUAACGCGUGAAGUUGACCGCCUGGGGAGUACGGUCGCAAGAUUAAAACUCAAAGGAAUUGACGGGG